UAUAGUAUUGCACUCAAAAACCAAGGAAAAUACAAAAACAAGCAUCUCUCCCCCCCUUCUCUCCCCCAAAAAAAGGUAGUAGUAAAAAAAACUUAGGAAGGGAGUGGGGGUGGGGGGAGCGAGUUGGGGAAGAAGUUGAGAAGAGAGAAGCCUAAACAAAUACCUAAAGCUAAAAGAGAAACCAAUUCUUGAUUUUCACCAAAUACCAAAUUUGCUUUGCUUUGCUAUUUCUCCUUGAAGUUUUCAACUUUCUUGCAUUUUGCUCAAAGUACAGUGUUCAAGUUGAUAUCUUUAGUGGAAAAAAGAUGCCUAGACCAGGACCAAGACCUUAUGAGUGUGUUAGAAGAGCUUGGCAUAGUGAUAGACACCAACCCAUGAGAGGUUCUAUCAUACAACAAAUUUUCAGGGUUGUAAGAGAAAGACAUAGUGUUGUUACAAAGAAGAAUAGAGAAUGGCAACAGAAACUUCCUGUCGUUGUCUUGAAAGCUGAGGAGAUUAUGUAUUCCAAAGCUAACUCUGAGGCUGAAUAUAUGGAUCCUGAAACACUUUGGGAUAGGGUAAAUGAUGCCAUUGAUACCAUUAUUAGGAGAGAUGAGACUGAGACUGGACAACUAUUGCCUCCUUGUAUUGAAGCUGCUCUUAAUCUUGGCUGUAUACCGGAGAGAGCAUCUAGGAGCCAGCGGAACAGUAUGCCUAGGAGUUACCUCAGCCCAAGAACUCAAGAACCUCAUUGUGUACCUCCUAAAGUUUUUAGUAGAAGUGGCAAUGAGCUAAACUCUAACUCAGCGUUACCUAUUCGCUCUUCAAACCAACCAUUGUUCUUGAGACCUUCAAAUGUCAAUUCACCAAGAUUAGUUUCAGAGUUUGACAGGCCUGUAGUGCCCUGCAUCAACAAUCUAGGUGCUUCCUCAAGUGGGAAAGCCAUUAUUAUUCCGGAAAGUAGUAGUUCUUUGGAUGUGGGUUCAGUAUAUCCAUUGUUUUAUGGUACUGAUCUUCAGCCUGAAGUUUCUCCGUUGGUCCCCCGAGAACCUCAACAUAACGUAAUCGUUGGUAAACCUGUAUAUCCGACUAUCGUCGAGUCUUCUGAAAUCAGCUGCUUCCCGAGCUUGUUUCCUUGCAGGAGAGAUGAUAUUCAAGAAAAAUCAUAUCAACCAGAUUAUAGGGACAAUAUUAGGAGGGUGCCUGAAUUGGACUGUGAUUUGUCCUUAAGGUUGGGUUUCUCUGCAAACUCUGGCAUGCAAUUGCAACAAGGUCAAACUAGUUGCAUUGGUGAUUUCAGGCGAAGCGACGAUUCUCAUGAAGGAGACCAGUUCAAGCUUAUGUUGACCAGUAAAGGGAAAGAGUUUACUUUCUUUCCUGCGGAGUCUGCCAAUAGUCCAUCAGGAAUGCAUAGAGCUCAUGAAAAUUUGGAGGGUUAUGGUCACAAUACAGAAACACUAUUUAGGAUGCAUAAAAUGCCUGUUAGACCAAGUGAUGCAUUUCAGGGAAGAUAUGAGUUCGACGCUGUGUCAACCAGCAAAGACAAAGAGCAUCCUUUCUUUCUUGCAGAAUCUGCCAAUAGUCCCUCCGGUUUGCAAAUAGGUCGGGCGAAUUUAGAGGGUGAACAUCAGAAUGCUGAAACACUACUUAGGAAACGUAAGAUGCCAUUCCAUAACAAUAUGGAACUUGGACAAUUUUUGUGGCAAGAUGAGCGAACUUUGAACCGUUUUCCUGGUCAAAUGAAAAGGCCAGAGAUCUGGACUGCAUUGCCAAAACCUUGCCUACACUUGAUGUAUAUCCAGUGCUGGGGAGUGCUUGACGCCAGGCGUAAGAUCAGUUCAGAUCGUUGUUGGACAGCUUUAACAAGUUUGAAGUGAUGAUGUCUAUCGCAUGGAAGAAAAUGAUUCUCCGCCACCGUAAAAGACAAGUUUGGUCCGUAACCUUGAACGUUUUCCCCAGAAACCUGUUCACAGGCUUGGAGUAAGAUUACUGUGAUUGACUAGUUGAAAUAGAAGAAGAGAGUUGGGAAAGCAUCUCUUUUAAGUGGGCGUUUUAGCUAAGUAAUUAAAAGCCCUAUCUUGCAGUGUAUUGCCUAAAAUACGCCAUAGUGAACACACCUCAGUAUGAAGAAUUCGGCUUCUAGGGUUGAAUCAUUUGUUGAUCAUAAUUAGAUGCACUCUUAGCAAUCUUGUUGCUGCCUGCUUUUAGAAGCUAAGUAUUCAAAAGUAAAGAGGUCGUUUGCUAUGGUGUUCAAGAACAAUGCUGAAUAGAGUGUAUUAAUAAUACUUGUAUUAACUAUGCCGAGCUGAGAUUAUCUGCCAUGCUCGGUUUGAUUUGGCGUAUUAAAAAUAACAUGCAUUGCAUGAUUUCUAAAAAGAAAUUGUUUAUGAAAAUACCAGAUACCCUCCACAAAAUACGGUGGAAAGGAUGUGGAAAAAGGUUUUGACGGGCAAUUGUGUCUUUAACUAUGCUCAUGCAUGCAUUUAAAACUCUUGCAUUGUUAAUACCAUGUAUUAGUUAUGUGAAGCUAGAUGAAUGCCUUGUUUUAUUUCAGGUCAAAAGGUCCUACCUAUAAUAAGUGCAUAUCUUGUGAAUUGUGAUAUUGACCAUCAAUGAUGUUGCUGUCUGUUUUCUAGAAAGCAUUUUUGCUGAACAGGAAAAUCAAGCUUUUGGUAGCUAAUUCUUGGAUAUGCUCUGCUUACAGAAAAGGUCUCUGCUGCUGUAUAUGUCAAAAAGUUGGAACUUUUUCCAUCAGGCCUGCCAAAUACAUCCACGAAUGUUGGGGCUUAGUUUGUUGUGAGCCUCUUGACUUCUCUUAGAUGAAAUUACUGGAGACUUCUGUGGAGAAAGAAAAGAUAUGCAUUAAAUAAAGGUUUAAAGCAGCCUUAGUUCGGCUAUAUCACAAAAAUAGCAGGGAAUUGAUCAUCUGAGACCCUGUUGCUACAAACAGAUCUGCUGAAAGAGCUACCAGCUAGAUCUUCCCAGAAAACUGAGCACAAAAGGGGUGGUGUUACAAAAACAUGAGUCUUGUCAAAAAAAUUCAAAGUUGCUCCCUUCUCGGCCAUCAUGUCAGCAACUCUGUUUUGUUCCCUGAAGCUAUGCUGAACAGUCGGUCCUCCCAAGCUCCUUAGCGUUGACCUGCAGUGAUUAAUAAGUGGAUCAUAUAGAAGGUUGCCUUUCUGUAAUAUGAUUAUGACUUCUUUAGAGUCAAUGUUAAUUUCCAGAGGCCUUAGAUUGUGCUCAAUAAAAAGUUCCAGGCCUUCUUUGAGAGCACACAUCUCCAUGAGGUUGUUGGUAGCAUGGGUAAAGCUUUUGCUGAAGCCAAUUAUCCAGUCUCCUCUACCAUUUCUGAUUAUCCCUCCUAUACCCCCCAUUCCCCGGCUUCCCUGAAGGAUAAUUCCUUCUUAAUUAAUGCAAAGAUUAAAAACUCUUAUAUCUCUCUGUAAUAAAUUUGUGUGAACAUUCGUAAGUCAUAGGAGUUAAUAGGAUGUGGGAGUUACUACUUCAUAAAUGUAUAUUUAUUCAAAUGACGAUUAAAUGUAGCUUUGUGAAUGAAAGAUAUUCAUAAAUCUUGAAAGUACUACC